GAUGAACGCUGGCGGCGUGCCUAAUACAUGCAAGUCGAGCGAACAGACGAGGAGCUUGCUCCUCUGACGUUAGCGGCGGACGGGUGAGUAACACGUGGAUAACCUACCUAUAAGACUGGGAUAACUUCGGGAAACCGGAGCUAAUACCGGAUAAUAUAUUGAACCGCAUGGUUCAAUAGUGAAAGACGGUUUUGCUGUCACUUAUAGAUGGAUCCGCGCCGCAUUAGCUAGUUGGUAAGGUAACGGCUUACCAAGGCAACGAUGCGUAGCCGACCUGAGAGGGUGAUCGGCCACACUGGAACUGAGACACGGUCCAGACUCCUACGGGAGGCAGCAGUAGGGAAUCUUCCGAAUGGGCGAAAGCCUGACGGAGCAACGCCGCGUGAGUGAUGAAGGUCUUCGGAUCGUAAAACUCUGUUAUUAGGGAAGAACAAAUGUGUAAGUAACUAUGCACGUCUUGGCGGUACCUAAUCAGAAAGCCACGGCUAACUACGUG
rnacentral:rRNA from 1 species